GAUGACAAAAAAAAUGACACCAAAACACCAAAUUUUGUAUAAUUUCAACACCAAAUUUAAUGUCUUGGUUGGAGAUACCUUUAGUAUCUCUGUCUUAUCUAGAAAUGGUUGAAAUUUUCUACUUAAUUAUAAGUUGCUAAUAGCAGAAAAUUUAGCUAUGUCUAUUUUCCCUCUUAUGGUGAAUUUAUAUUCUUCAUCUAUAAUUAAAAUCCCAAGAAUAAGAUUUCAAACUUCAAAGUAAAAUGAAAUAAUUUUAUAAAUAAAUCGGCUUUUGCAUUUGAUUUCACUUUGAAAAAUAAUUGAUGAAGAAGUAAAUUGUACAACCCAAUUGAUAAGUUGGAUAUUACAUAAACCGGUCCAAACCCCACCCAAAGGCCGAAACGUUGACUUAGUCUUAAAUACUUUUUAUCUCUCUCGAAAAUGGCUCAAUACUUUAUGAAAUUCAUGUAACGCCCCCUCAAUGUGGAUCCAAUCGAUCUCAAACAAACUAUUUCCGUCAUAAACCGAAUUAUUGCUCUCCUUUUUCUUCUUCUUGAUAUUUGGUCAAAGCGUAAUAUAGAACCCUCUCCCUCCCGCUCUCCUCCCGACUCCAAAACAAGAUUAUCUUUUGGUUCCUAGACACUCUCUCUCUCUGACUUCUCAUCCCGCCUCUGAGUCACCAUCUCCGGCCACUAGUCAAUCACGAUCUCGUGGGACUCUAGUCUCCAGGUUGGUGGAAGAUGGGAAGAGUGUUCGUGAUAGAACUCGAGGGACCAGUCUAUACAUGCAAAAAGUGCCACACACAUCUCGCACUCCCCAGUGAUAUCAUCUCUAAGAAUGGUCGUCACGAAUAUGAGUUCUCUAGACUCUUCAAUACAUUUCUGGCUGAAAGAACGGUCAAAGAUAUCUUUUGUGUCGUUUGUUUCAAUGAGAUCGGCAUUUAAUUAUGGCGUAACUGAUCCAAAUAGUUACUGGGUUAUGAGUAUGUAGGGGCGAACUCCAUGGACCGGAAGGAAGUGAUGAUGAGAUUUAGGAGUUGGUAUGUGUUCAACAAAUAGACAAUUUGAUGUAGAAGUAUUCGGUUUUGAAUUUCAUAUUACUUUGUAUAGUGUGUGAAUAGUCCCAAGAAAAAAUCACCAUGUUCUUCCUUUUGAGAUUUUGAUGACAUUUGAAAGUUUUUACUUUUACACUUCUUUUAUGUGUACAAUGUAAUUAGCUAUCACUAGUGACAUGUGAACUGAGUCAUCUAUUUGACUUUGUCUUGCGUUAUUAUUUUGUCUGGCACAUUCUGUUUUCUUUUUCUUCUGAGAUCGUCAGGUUCAUUGAUAGCAAAGGAAGAGACUGACUGAAUAUAUAGAGGUGCCUAGUUUAUUAGUUAAUUGUUACCAAUUUUAGUAUUUCUAUUUGAGAUUUUCAGCGUUUAAAAGUGUAUCAACUAUUCUAUAGUAUACCAGUUUUAUAAAUGAACAUGGACACAACAAAUACAUUAACAAAUACACUCAUUCCACAACAAUCUGUCAAUCAUACACCAUGGGGACUUUUUGGUUCUGCAUUGUAGUGUACGGCCUAUGUUUAAUUG